CUGAAGGACACCAUGUUCAGUUGAAACUUCAGGGGGAGCUUAGGGAGGCAGAAUGUAACUACCCACAGUAGCGCAACACCAGGCUCGAUGGAGAUUGGCGUUAUGAGUCAGGCACUGGAGCAGGACUCAGGAGAUCUAGGUUCAUUCCCAACUCUUCCAUAGACUUCCUAUGGCACCCCAGGCAAACAAGAGCGCAAACCCAGUCGGGGGAAGGCAGCGAGGAGGAGUUCAGCAGCCAGAUGUAAUUGCAUUUUCCUCCGUGAUCGCCUCAGGCCUGAGCCAAGGCCCUUCUGUGCCUCUCUCUCCUCGAUGCAUUGUGUAGAACUGGUCGAAAAUUCAGUUAAAAGGCCACUUCUGGGUCUCGGCUGUAGGAACAUAAAUUGUGCGAGAAUUUUUCGCUUGCGUACGCCUGAUGGGUUUUGCCAUCCAGCUCUGCAAGGCUGGGUCAUAUUUCAUGCUCCUUCCAUCCCCCUGAUCCUCGCUCUCUCAUCAGGAGUCCUCAUAGUUACAUAUGUGAGCUCUCUCUUGCGGAGGCUGUACAGCAGGCCUGUGUUUUACGGCGAUGUCCUAGUGAAGGGAUAUCUCUUACUGCGUUUAUAAAAGGCGUGCCAAGAUUGAUGGGGUGUCGGAGUGGAUGGUCGCAAAUCCAACAGCCCCAAGCUAGUCGGGAACAUAGAUGGGGGAUUGCGGGGGCAGGGUAGCUUCCUAGGGGACAUGUGUCAUGCUUCUGGCAGAGAGGUGUAAUUUAUAUAAACAAGGGGUGAGAUGUAAAUCCUGUCCAAGUUGUACGAGGCUUCCUCUGGGCAGCUAGAGCACCUGGUGCUGCUGUGAUGGUUUGAGUCGAGACCUUUUACAAAGCACCUGGUACAGUAGUCCUGCCGGCCUUCUUACCCUCCUCUGCCCCCUCUCUAGGGUUCCUUCCUUUUCCAUUGAUGCCCAUCAGCGAGUUCCCUCCUCUCCCUCCUACAAGAGUCUGAGACUGGUCUCCCACCUCCCCAAAACUGCUCUUCAGCACCAUCUGAGACAGUGUUGGUGCCCAUUGGAUCCAGGCUGCCAAGACUUUUCCAAUAAUUCUGUUACACCGGGUGACUUCCUAAUCUGAGACAUUGAGCUCACUCAAGAUCUUCCAACUCCAUCUUGUUCACAGAGGCAGGGUUAUUCACUCUGAAUUAGCGCUGUGUGAAUAACCAUUUUAAAAAAAAUUCACUGGCAAUUCCAAAAAAUUGAAGAAAACUAUUUGUUUUUUGUCAACCCGAAAAGAAUUUUUUUCCAAAAUUGUCAGUGAAUCAAACAGUCAAAAAGGGGGAAAAAAUCAUGUUGGGUCAAACUAAACAUUUAGCUUUGAUUGUUAGCAGUUCUUUAACAACUUCUAAUUUUUAAAUAAAAUUAAAGGACAUUUCGAAACAAAGUCCUUUCGAAUUGACAAAUGUACAUUUGUGAAAAUAUUGUAAAGUUUUGGUUUUUAACCAAAACAAAAUGUUGGGUCAACAGAAAUCUGCAUUUCUCCCCCCCCAACCCUUCCCCCAACCUUUAGUUUGAAAACUUCUGCCCAGCUCUACUUUUAAUACUAAAACGUAAGAGCAGAGGAUUUGACAGGACUCUUGGCUCAGAGUCCAGGCCCUCCUAUCACAAGGCAGCUCUGUAUAAUCCCUUUCAGAAAUGUAUCAAACACCAUGUUAAAUCAGUUGGGUUUCUUGUCCCCACUCCUGUCUGCGCUGUUUUUCGGCCCGCCGUCCUUGAGGGAGCCUGGGGCAGGAGUGUCUGUCAGAGGACCCAGUGGUUGCUAUGUGGCCUUGGCGAUGCCACAGUUCAGUUUCUCACAUUCUGUGCUUCCCCUACUGAGGCUCUAGGAGAGAUGGCGAAUGAGCUAAUUCGGUUCCUGCUCCUCCCUCCUGGAGACACAGAGGCAGUCGCACUCGAGCGCAGUCACCCGUAGGCUCUAGCAGCUAUUGUGCACACACAGCCGGUGACUCGCACCCACUUGUCUCCCAGACACGCUCACAUUCUCCCUCCCUACAGAGACAACUGCCCUGAGUGUCCCAGACACACCCACUCUCACUCACACAAUGGCAGUCUACACAAACACCCACACUGCUUGCUUUAUCACCAAAAGGGUCACGUCGGCCCACGCACACCCACCCAUCCACUCAUCAUAGUGGCAGCCCCAGAGUCACGCAGCCAGGCUAAUCCAACCACAGUCCCACGCUCCUGUAGGCGCAUCACAAUUCACACAGCAUUUACACAGACAGGCCAACAGCCACACACCGUCAGGUGCCCUCAGACAUACAGUAUUACUGGCUCAGAGUCACACGGGAUCACCCAGUCCAUAAUACCUCAUCAGCAUGGCAAGUGUUGUCAAAAUGUAACAGAGACAGACCUGUCAGGUCUCUCUCAGAGGGAGAUGACAAUCUGCCCAAGAUAAGUCUUCACGCUGUAUUUGGGGUUUGAUUCCUGAUGUGGGGUAAGGCCGCUGCACAUCGCACUGUUAUCUCUGCUGAUUUUCCUGGUGAGAAGGCUUGUCUGGUCCCGGAGAGCUUGAGGAAAUACACUCCUUUGUAUUUUGGAUGUCGGAGUAGAAAGUUCUUGAUCCAGCAUCUGUCACGGCGAUUGCACAAUCGCUUUUCUCUGGGUUGUGCUUUACAUCUUCCAGUUUCCACUUCUAAAUUACAGUCUCUGACACACACACACACACACACACACACACACACUCUCUCUCUCG